rnacentral:lncRNA from 1 species
UGUCUCUACAUAGUAGCUUAAAGAUCCAUCUAUCCCGAAGGAAGUGAUUUAUGCGUGAGUCUAUCCGAAUCUAUCAUCGCCCUCAUGAUGAUCCUAUGAUCAGAAGCCUUUAGGAAUUAAAUACAUGUCUCUAAUUCUCAAUACUUUGAGAAUAUAUAUCAAAACUAAUUUCAUGGAUGAUUCAAGAACAUAUUACACUUGAAUGAAAAAGAACAUGCCCCUUUUAUUGAUCAUA